UUGGGUUUCCUACACAUCAUCCCC
rnacentral:siRNA from 1 species